rnacentral:rRNA from 1 species
GUGGGGAAUAUUGCACAAUGGGCGAAAGCCUGAUGCAGCGACGCCGCGUGAAGGAUGAAGUAUUUCGGUAUGUAAACUUCUAUCAGCAGGGAAGAAAAUGACGGUACCUGACUAAGAAGCCCCGGCUAACUACGUGCCAGCAGCCGCGGUAAUACGUAGGGGGCAAGCGUUAUCCGGAUUUACUGGGUGUAAAGGGAGCGUAGACGGCGAUGCAAGCCAGAUGUGAAAGCCCGGGGCUCAACCCCGGGACUGCAUUUGGAACUGUGUGGCUGGAGUGUCGGAGAGGCAAGUGGAAUUCCUAGUGUAGCGGUGAAAUGCGUAGAUAUUAGGAGGAACACCAGUGGCGAAGGCGGCUUGCUGGACGAUGACUGACGUUGAGGCUCGAAAGCGUGGGGAGCAAACAGG